UAGACAUUCUGAUAUCCCAUUGUU
rnacentral:miRNA from 1 species